CAGUUCUGGAGAGUUUUUGCUCUGAGGAGUUCUAUGCUCAAAGGUUCUGCUCUGAGGAGCAGAUAGGAGAGAAGCUAUUAUGCUGCUCUAGAGGAGGCUAUGGUGGAAUAGCUGUUUGCUCAAGGUUUAUUUUUUGCUUUCUCAUUUGACUUCGCAUGGAGAGUUAAUUGAGGAGGGAAUCUCUGUGGGAAUGUAUUUUGAACCUACCACCACAAUAGUCUACAGCAGAGGAGCACAGAGCACAGAAGAAGGCAAAGCCAUCCCUCAUCCUGGGAGUUGACGAUGAGCAGCUGGUCCAUGUCUGCAGUUUGCCCACUGCACAUGCCAUAUGGGAGCGGCCUAAAGAGGUACAUGUCUUGGACUCUGCGGAAACUGUGGCUAUAUUAGCUAGAAGGCUAUACAGAAAGCUAAACAGCCAGCUGGGAAUGCGGCAGAGCAAGAGAGAGAGAGAGAGACAGUUUGUGUUGUGAGAUGUUUUGUUUGCAAUUCUUCGAAACAUUUGAAGACUGUCCAAAGCUGCGAGACAAGCAGAAGAGCAAGCAACAAUAUCUGCGGAGGGGUUCCUCACAUGAUGCUAAAGGAAAGUACAGCAACAGAUGAGCACACUGCCCAUUACACAGCAUCACUGGACUUCCUGUUGAAGCCACAACAAGAAAUGUUACCGGUAGCUGUUCCAGGUUGGAUCAUCUGUUCAUUUUUUGAAAUGUUUUCUUCACAUCAUCAUCCAAAUAUGAAAGGACAGACCUUACAGCACUCCACUUGAGAUCUCCUUCCAAUCUGAAGCAUAGUCAUUUUUAGCAUGGUUGUCGAAGUAAUUGUGGAUCCAGCUUAUGUUGUUUCCAGGUAUUCCAUGUUUAGUCAAUUUGCUAAUCAAAAUAGCAUGGAGAACUUUAUGAAUUGCUUUUCUGGAAUUCAGAUGAAAAUGCCCAUAAAUCCUGUAAUGCAAGAGUUUGCCUUCCCCAAUUCUUCUAAUAUUUGAUAGGUUUAGUAUACUCAGGAAUUGAAGUUUUGUUUCUUUUGUAGUAAGUCUAUACUUUUUUUGUGCAUUCUCCUUUUGUGCACUGCAGGAAGUGCUUAGUUGGAGUGUUUCUGAUUCACUUUUGCAUCAUUUGCUCCUGAUGAUAACAGGAUGUUCUAUGAGUGUUACCACCCUCUUCAUUUUCAUAGGUUUUUUUCUGAUUGGUUAUAUUAGUUCUACCUUUGUUCUAACCAGGACAUACUUGUGUUCUCUGAUGUAUUGUAAAGUCUCCACAAUGAGUUACCUUCUCCUCUAAGAAAGCCAUCAGUUGGAACUUGCUGCAACUUUAGUCAGUGAUGUUUUCUGGCAAGGAGACAAAUAUUUCACGCACACUGCAGCAGGCAUUGACAGAUCCUUCUUUUCCCAUCCCUGCAGUUAUUUUCUUUCAUUUUUAAACUCUAAUAACUCUUAUUGACAUGGCUGCAUGUACCUCAAGGUGCUCUCCACUGGCCCUCAGAGACUGAACUCCAAAGACUGAGGCAGCAGUUAUAAGGGGCUAAUGUCUGCUAACUUCACUUUCUAGCAAGUUGGUGACUCCGAAGAACUCAUGCUCCAUUAUACCAUAUGCCUGUGAAGUACAAGCAGCUCAAAACAAAACACACAAAAAGCCCUAAAAUGUCAAAUAGUCAAUAAUGACUCAUCAAAAUGCAACUCACCUUUUAUUCUAUCUUCACAGAUC
rnacentral:lncRNA from 11 species